rnacentral:rRNA from 1 species
AUUGAACGCUGGCGGCAGGCCUAACACAUGCAAGUCGAACGAGUGGCGGACGGGUGAGUAAUGUCUGGGAAACUGCCCGAUGGAGGGGGAUAACUACUGGAAACGGUAGCUAAUACCGCAUACCAUCGGAUGUGCCCAGAUGGGAUUAGCUAGUAGGUGGGGUAACGGCUCACCUAGGCGACGAUCCCUAGCUGGUCUGAGAGGAUGACCAGCCACAAUGGAACUGUGACACGGUCCAGACUCCUACGGGAGGCAGCAGGUGGGAAUAUUGCACAAUGGGCGCAAGCCUGAUGCAGCCAUGCCGCGUGUAUGAAGAAGGCCUUCGGGUUGUAAAAGACUUUCAGCGAGGAGGCGUUACCCGCAAAAGAAGGACCGGCUAACUCCGGUCCAGCAGCCGCGGUAAUUC